GCUCUGCCUGCCGGCCUAGAGGCCACUCCCUGAUUACAGAGCUCGGCCUCCAUUCUGGGCGUCCCAGCUCUGGGGUUUGGACACCACAUUCUGAAUCCGGGCCCCGUGGCUCAUCCCCACCGGUGCUCCCCAGGCUUCGGUCCUGGGCCUCUGUCUCCUCCCCGUGAGCCGAGCCUGCUCAGGCCCUUCCCCGGAGCCAGCCUGGGCGUGCGGUGGUGCGGGACACGGGCGGACGAAGGCGCACAGAUACCGUCUGCUGACCGUCUGGUGAUGAUGUCACUGACCACAAUUAUGGCUAAACAUGAGGAUUGGGCGUGAAUUUUAAUUUUUGUCGCUAAUUGGGAAGAGCGUGCAUCUCUCCAAUUAAGUGAUUUCCCUCAGACAGACUUGUCCCCAGGGACGUGUGUUUGUAAGGCGAUUAUCCGGGACAGAAUUACAGACUGCACCUGCAGAACAGAGCAAGGCCGUGACUUUGACUUUGUCGGCAUCAUGCGUGAAUUAAACACGGAGUCCUGUUCUCCAACAUGAGCUUUAUUUGGGGAUUUAGGUCUUGAAAAUGGUCGUUAGGGGCUCCGUGUCCUGGCAGGCUCCACGGGCAGCUCCGGGCCUGUCAGGAAUGUGGGGUGGUUUCCAGAACCUGGCUGUGCCAGCCGCAGAGCACCCCUCCCCCCACCGAGCUGGAGAAUGCGAGUGUGUGUGCACACACGUGUCCCUCGCCCUCUUCCUCAGAGGCUGGCACACUAUGCGCUACAAACGUGUGGGCGUUUUUAGACUUUGUUUCUCCAAGGGAGGGACUUUAAACGCUGAGUUUCCUCCUUGGAGGAAUCUGAAUUGUGCAUUAGCAGAAACUACUCAGAUCAAAUAAAGCUCUUGUGAGUUCUGCAAGACCUGGAACUGUGGGAGCCGCUGGCCGCUGUGUGGCGGGUUGGAAGUACGUUCACGCACGCGCAGCCAAGCAGAUCUUCCACGGGCUGUAGAGCCUUUUCUGCACCUGCUGCUGGAAGUUGUUACCUCAAGUGAGCCGUUUGUGUGACUCUUCGUAAGGAACAUGAGUCACAUGAAAGGGCACAUUGCCUUCGGGGACAUAAUCAAAUGCCUGAAUGACAAGUAUGAAGAGUGUCACCCUCAAUGACACCUUGGAAUCCUCAAACCAUUUUUCGUGGAGCCCGUCAGCAGGUGGAUGAUGGCCGGUAACACACAGGGAGAGCAGCAGAGGGGGCAGACGAUGCGGCGUUUCCCCGGUUUCUGUCCAUGAGUUCUGUGGAAGCCGUGUGCCCAGGCCGAGCUCCAGGACCGGCGCCUGCUGACAGGGAGAGGGGCCGUCUCUCCCAGCUGGGGUGCGGGCACUCUGCCCAUCGGAUCUGAGGUCUUGUAGCCACCGGGUGCCCCCUUUGGUAAAAAAUCUACUGCUCCUUCCAGUAGGCAUCAGCAUGCGUAAGGGCCAGCCCGUAACCCCCAAGUGACAGGUGCCCCCCAAGAAGGACCCUCAACCGUGUCUCACCAGGAACUGAGGUGAGAGCUGUUGCUCCGGUCUGAAUUCAAACAGGUUCCCCUUGGGAGAAGACUGCUCACCUGGCGCUGCUCAGCAAGGCCCCCUGUCUGCAGACCAGUCCCCUCACAUGCGACUUCAAAUCGCAGGAAAGACUUGCCCUGAGAGGAAGCAUCUCGAGGGAGCACAUCGGGGUCUGCGCCGGACAGGAGGGGCUGAUCUGUAAGAAGAGAACCAAAAUGUCUGGACCUCUCAUCACACUCAGUACUGGUUACACUAACUGCGGGACCCAGAGCAAGAUGAAAACGUGAGGCCCCCGUCCACAGUCGUGAACGAUUUCAAGACAGUAAUCGAAGAGCAUGAUCCAUGCAUGAGGCCUCCCAGAUUGUGGCCCCUUGAGCAUGGACCCCCUGAGCCCAGCCUCUUUGUUCUGCAGAAGAACUUCAACUCUAAGUAGACAGUGAAAAGUUAAACUUCUAAAUUGAUUUAUUAACUCCAGCGACUACAUAGUCACACAGCUGUACAGAGUGACAUAGACCAGACCCAACAGAGAGGUUAACAUGGAAGAGUAAAAAAUAUUCUAAGAAUUCUAAGAAAGACAGAAAGGGAGAAAGAAAACAAUGAAAAAUAUAGGGGACAAACAAAACAAUAAAAUAGUAAACUUGUAUCCAAACAUAUUAGUAACUGAAUUAAAUACAAAUGGCUUAAACAUAUUAAAAAAGAGAGAUUAUCUGGGGCUCCUGGGUGGCUCAAUUGGGUGAGCGUUGACUUUGGCUCAGGUCAUGAUCUCAUGGUUCGCA